GGUCACUGUGGAGGGAGAGAGAAGAUAGUUGGCCUUAAUUAGCUCCAAAAAAAGCCCGGAACUCCUGGGAUUAAUCCAAAAUCAAGCAGAACUUCUGGUGGAGAGAUCCAAGCUCCCAAAUACCAUGGAAGAGUCAAAGAACUAAGGCAGGCCACAGUUAGCCCAGAGGAGGAAUUGAGAAGAAAUUGUAUGUCUCCUGAAUACAAGCCAGACACUCUUUGCCCUAAAUACCCACUUCUGGAGAAGGAAAAUUAACUGCUUUGAAAUAGAGAACAUUUGGAAGAGAAUCCAUUUUCAUCUGACAGGAAUGGUUUGAUGAGUCUUCUCUCAAAGCCAGGCAAUGGAUAACCUGAAUUUUUGAGUCUUUUCAACCCUGGAAAUCUAUGGUGCCAUAAAAUGGUUGUUUUAAUGAUAAAGAAAACAAAUCAGAGAAUCACACAGCUGCCCCUUAUUAUUAAAAGCACCCCUCCCCCACCACUGAAUAAACGUGUGUUCUGAAAUUAAAACAAGACACUACAUGAGAAAACCUUGGAAACAAGUAUGUUGCCAGCUGUGUACGCCAGAUGUGAUUACAGAGCGACAGUGAACAAUGCUGCAAUCAGCUUACUGGUUAGCCAGAAACUGUGGACACCCAGAAGAGGUUCCCUCUGAAUACAUACCCAAUGGUGUGUUCAAAACUACCGUGAAAAAAUGCUUGUUUUACCCAGAUCCUCUAUGGGAAUAUUUAGCUGUUACAUUGGAAAUGCUGUUAUUUUGGUUUCUAAAAAUGUCAUGACAGGAAAUGAUUGCAGGGAGGAGUUGCCAAGAUGGCUGUUGGGCAGAACCAAGAGGGAAAGAAAAGUUAAACCUAGAAAACACAAAACUGGAAAAGGUGAAAACACUACUAUCUG
rnacentral:lncRNA from 1 species